rnacentral:rRNA from 1 species
UACGUAGGGUGCAAGCGUUGUCCGGAAUUAUUGGGCGUAAAGAGCUCGUAGGCGGUUUUGUCGCGUCUGCUGUGAAAACCCGAGGCUCAACCUCGGGCCUGCAGUGGGUACGGGCAGACUAGAGUGCGGUAGGGGGAGAUUGGAAUUCCUGGUGUAGCGGUGGAAUGCGCAGAUAUCAGGAGGAACACCAAUGGCGAAGGCAGAUCUCUGGGCCGUAACUGACGCUGAGGUGCGAAAGCGUGGGGAGCAAACAGG